rnacentral:rRNA from 1 species
CCUACGGGAGGCAGCAGUGAGGAAUAUUGGUCAAUGGGCGUAAGCCUGAACCAGCCAAGUCGCGUGAGGGAUGAAGGUUCUAUGGAUCGUAAACCUCUUUUAUAAGGGAAUAAAGUGUGGGACGUGUCCUAUUUUGUAUGUACCUUAUGAAUAAGGAUCGGCUAACUCCGUGCCAGCAGCCGCGGUAAUACGGAGGAUCCGAGCGUUAUCCGGAUUUAUUGGGUUUAAAGGGUGCGUAGGCGGCCUUUUAAGUCAGCGGUGAAAGUCUGUGGCUCAACCAUAGAAUUGCCGUUGAAACUGGGGGUCUUGAGUAUGUUUGAGGCAGGCGGAAUGCGUGGUGUAGCGGUGAAAUGCUUAGAUAUCACGCAGAACCCCGAUUGCGAAGGCAGCAUACCGGUGCACAACUGACGCUCAGGCACGAAAGCGUGGGUAUCGAACAGGAUUAGAUACCCGUGUAGUC